UACGUAGGGAGCAAGCGUUGUCCGGAAUCAUUGGGCGUAAAGCGCGCGUAGGUGGCUUCGUAAGUCCGUUGUGAAAGUCAAAGGCUCAACCUUUGAAAGCCGAUGGAUACUGUGAAGCUAGAGUACGGAAGAGGCGAGUGGAAUUCCUGGUGUAGCGGUGGAAUGCGCAGAUAUCAGGAGGAACACCAAUAGCGAAGGCAGCUCGCUGGGACGUUACUGACACUGAGGCGCGAAAGCGUGGGGAGCGAACGGG
rnacentral:rRNA from 1 species